AGCUUUGUGGCGCAGCGGAAGCGCGCCGGGCUCAUAACCCGGAGGACUGUGGAUCGAAACCACACAAAGCUA
rnacentral:tRNA from 1 species